CUCCCCUUGAACACUAAGCAGAAGGCUGGGGCUGAGGGAGGCAGAGAAGAGGGGAAGGCAGGCUGGAGGAGAAGCAGGGACAGGGAGAGCCGGGGCCGGGGUAGGAGCUCCGGGGCUGGGGGGUUAGUGGGAUGAAGGAAAAAGUGUGAAGGUGGGUGGGCGGGGUGGUCAAGGAACCUGGGCUAAAGAGGGGGAGAAGGUGAGGAAGAUGGAGGCUGAGGAGAGGCCGCGGUGAAGGUGCCAUAGCUCCAAGAGGGAAUGCUAGGUUGGAGGGAGGGAUGAGGAAGGUAGAGGAAGAGGAGGAGGAGGCCAGAUGACUGUAGGAGAAGACAUUUAUGAAGCUGACGAUGUCUAAUGCAAGUUACGGAAUAGGAACUAGACUAACCUGGGACUGAGCACUGACAGAGACAGGCAGCAAGACAACCAACACACAGGCAGGAAAAGAUGGAGAAAAUCAAUAUUCCAGCUGUGGCAGUGGGGAGGCUGGUUUCCUUUUCCUGCCAUGGAUGUAAACCUGGUUUGGACAGUGGGUGACAUCCAAUCAAACAACGGGACCACAGGCCCUGUCACAAUGACAGCUGUGACAUCACUGCAAGAAUUCUGA
rnacentral:lncRNA from 1 species